GACGAACCGAGCGACCGUUAUUCGGAAUCACUGGGCUUAAAGGGCGCGUAGGCGGAUCAAAAAGUCAGGGGUGAAAUCCCACGGCUCAACCGUGGAAGUGCCUUUGAUACUUUUGAUCUCGAGGGAGGUAGGGGCGUGCGGAACUUCCGGUGGAGCGGUGAAAUGUGUUGAUAUCGGAAGGAACGCCGGUGGCGAAAGCGGCACACUGGAUCUCAACUGACGCUGAGGCACGAAAGCCAGGGGAGCGAACGGG
rnacentral:rRNA from 1 species